rnacentral:rRNA from 1 species
UACGUAGGGUGCAAGCGUUAAUCGGAAUUACUGGGCGUAAAGCGUGCGCAGGCGGCUACGCAAGACAGAUGUGAAAUCCCCGGGCUCAACCUGGGAACUGCAUUUGUGACUGCAUAGCUAGAGUACGGUAGAGGGGGAUGGAAUUCCGCGUGUAGCAGUGAAAUGCGUAGAUAUGCGGAGGAACACCGAUGGCGAAGGCAAUCCCCUGGACCUGUACUGACGCUCAUGCACGAAAGCGUGGGGAGCAAACAGG